rnacentral:lncRNA from 1 species
UGUGGUAUUACCAUUUUUAAGGCAUUUUAAAGUUUACAUAGCAUACUUUGGUAUAAACUGUAUUAUUAGUUCCAUGUUACAGAUUAAGAAAUUGAAGCUACAAGUCACUCAGCUAGCAAGUGGUAGUUAUUUAACCCAUCACUGCAUACUAAUUUUAGAAACAUGAAAAGUUUAUCAAGAUCUACCACUACAUGAACCUUUUGGAAUAUAACCCUAAACUGAAUUACAUUUCAAAAUAUCAUACCUGAGCAAUGAUU